rnacentral:misc_RNA from 1 species
GAUGAAGAACGUAGCGAAAUGCGAUAAUUAAUGUGAAUUGCAGAAUUCAGUGAAUCAUCGAGUCUUUGAACGCACAUUGCGCCCCCUGGUAUUCCGGGGGGCAUGCCUGUCCGAGCGUCAUUGCUGCCCUCAAGCCCGGCUUGUGUGUUGGGCCUCGUCCCCCCUCCGCGGGGGACGGGCCCGAAAGGCAGCGGCGGCACCGUGUCCGGUCCUCGAGCGUAUGGGGCUUUGUCACCCGCUCUGUAGGCCCGGCCGGCGCCUUAGCCGACGACACAAUCUUUUUUCCAGGUUGACCUCGGAUCAGGUAGGGAUACCCGCUGAACUUAAGCAUAUCAAUAAGCGGAGGA